GUCCACGCCCUAAACGAUGGCGACUAGUUGUUGGGGAUUUAACGUCCUUAGUAACGCAGCUAACGCGUGAAGUCGCCCGCCUGGGGAGUACGGUCGCAAGAUUAAAACUCAAAGGAAUUGACGGGGGCCCGCACAAGCGGUGGAUGAUGUGGUUUAAUUCGAUGCAACGCGCAGAACCUUACCUACCCUUGACAUGUGAGGAACCUUCCAGAAAUGGAAGGGUGCCCGAAAGGGAACCUCAACACAGGUGCUGCAUGGCUGUCGU
rnacentral:rRNA from 1 species